UCUCUCUCUCUCUCUCUCUCUCUCUCUCUCUCUCUCUCUCUCUCUCUCUCUCUCUCUCUCUCUCUCUCUCUCUCUCUCUCUCCGGGUGUCUCAAGCAAAGGGCCAUGGCCUCCGUCCAGCUUGGAGGAUCUUGGAGCGCGUGAUGAGGGACAGGCGCGACACAGGUGUGCAGAGGUGUCGCUGUCCCGUGCUGCACCGAGGAGCAGAUGCGGUGCUCUGUCACCUAUGAAUCACGAAACGCAAGUGUAAACGGGAAAGGCUGGCGGGUUGUCAUAUGCUGUGGACUGGAGCACCGGAGGCUUCAGUCUGAGCACCUGAGCUCGGUAUAGACUUUAGACCGACUUUAACCGGAAGCUGCCGCUAUCUUUGUUAAACCUCGAUCAGCUGACAACACUCUUCGCUGCAAACAACCUAUUGCAUACUGACAUGAUUGCUUUAUCUGGUAAUAAGCAAUAUAAUUAAAUAGAAAUUAGAUCAACUCCCAUCUAAAUUGUUGCUCCAACUACCUUAUUCGCUUCAAGAAGGUUGCCCCAACUAUCGUACCAGUGAAAUAAAGCGCGGAUAGCCAAAAUAUUUAGAGAAAGCUUUAUGCCUAUACACUGGUGAUGGAGUUACAAGAAUGAAGAAUUAUAGAAAGGUUUAUUUGUGACUACCGGUGCUGAUGGGGCAUGAAGAAAUCUAUAAGCGAAAUCAUAAUUAGUGCUAUUUUAUUAUGCCAAAAAUAGUUCGCAAACUUGUAUUCAGUUGUGAUGUUUUAUUCUACUGUGUGGUCAUAUUUAUUUUAGCAGUACUUUGGUUAUUAUGUUAUUUACUUUGGUUGAGACAUGUAUUUGAAGUUAAUGAAGGUUUGAGUUCUUAUAUGUGAUAAUGAAA